rnacentral:rRNA from 1 species
GACGAACGCUGGCGGCGUGCUUAACACAUGCAAGUCGAACGGAAAGGCCCUGCUUUUGUGGGGUGCUCGAGUGGCGAACGGGUGAGUAACACGUGAGUAACCUGCCCUUGACUUUGGGAUAACUUCAGGAAACUGGGGCUAAUACCGGAUAGGAGCUCCUGCUGCAUGGUGGGGGUUGGAAAGUUUCGGCGGUUGGGGAUGGACUCGCGGCUUAUCAGCUUGUUGGUGGGGUAGUGGCUUACCAAGGCUUUGACGGGUAGCCGGCCUGGGAGGGGGACCGGGCACAAUGGGCCUGAGAGACGGACCAGACUCGAACGGGAGGCAGCGGUGGGGAAUAUUGCACAACGGGGGGAAGUGUGAUACAGAGACGCCGCGUGCGGGAUGACGGGUUUCGGGUUGUAAACCGCUUUCGCAUGUGACGAAGCGUGCGUGACGGUAAUGGGUAAAGAAGUCACGGCUAACUACGUG